rnacentral:lncRNA from 1 species
AAACAUCCACUGAGUGAGAAUCGAGCCACCGGAAGGCAGUAAAACCUCAAGUUAAACCACCAGAAACCCUAGAAGCCGAUAGUUCACCCAAAAUCAAGCAACCAAAAAUCAUCAUAAAAUCUUGCAGAAUGUUCAGGAGAAGAGAAUACACUCGGAUAUCACGAUGAAAGACUCAGAAAAGUCUCCGAUAGGUCAAAAUCUUCAUCGACCAUGAGGUCUUAGAAAUCACCCGCAAAAACCUCGAAACAGACUUCAUCCAAGACCACAAAGCACAUAGAAACAUGAUCGGAUCGUCGUCGAGGCUCUGAUACCAUGGAAACAUCGAGGUUAAACCGAGAAAUCAUGAAGAUUCUAGAGAGAGAAAGUAGAGAGAAGGAGGAGGAUUUGAGAAGUCUCUGGAACUCAGAGAGUUUAUUAAACCGAGAACAGAAAAAAUGAAAAUUA